AAUAUGUAGCUUUGGUAAUCGUUUGGCCAACAGUGUAGAUUUAAUAAGCUUUACUCAGCCUACCGUACGUUCAUUAAGAGUUUACCUAACUGAGUGUAGGUUCAGUAAGAGUUUACCUAACUGAGUGUAGGUUCAGUAAAAUGUUUGCCGAAUAAGUGCUGUUUUAGAUAUGAUAAAGCUAACCUAAUGUAAGUUCCGUUAGGUAUUGAUAUUGAUUUAACGUUCGUCACACAUGCAGAACACUUCCAGUCAAAUUU